rnacentral:rRNA from 1 species
AUGUCGCCCUUGUGGAAGGCCGUCCUCUGCCUGACGCUGUUUGCCGCAUGGCGGUCGCAGGUCGAAUUCAGGACGAUGACUUCCCGGCGCCCGCGGCUUGACUGCGCGCAGCGUUGCCCUUGCAGCGGCCAGAGCUACCUCCACAGCUCUUACAGCCACGCUGGGACGCAAGCACGCGCCCCCUUGCUCGACGAGGUGCUUCCAGGUGGCCAUUCUGUGUCUGUGGGGGCAGCGAUAGGUGGCGAUGAAGGCGGGAAGGCGUCAUGCCUGCCUCUCGCCAGGGAGGUCGGCGUCCGGGCGGCAGCCGGCGGGGGAGGCAAUUUCAUCGUCUCGCCGCUGUCCAUCCACGCGGCGCUCGCGCUGGUGGCCGCCGGCACGCGGGGCGAGACGCGCGAGGAGCUCCUGGGGUUCCUUGGCUCGGCGUCGCUCGACGAGCUGCACGGCGCGUCGUCGACGGAUCUGGCUGGCAGGCUCAACGGCCUGGCGCAGACGUCGUUCGCGUGCGGCGUGUGGGUCGACCGCGCGCAGGCGCUGGAGCCGGAGUUCAUGGCCACCGCCGCGUCGAGGUACGCUGCCACCGCGGAAUCGGUGGAUUUCUCCUCGGACCCGGAGCAGGCGAGGCGGCGAGUGAACGGCUUCGUCGCCGGCGCGACGGACGGGCGCAUCCGCGACGUCCUCCCUCCCGGCUCGGUCGGCUCGUCCACGCGAGUCGUCCUCGCCAACGCGCUCUACUUCAACGGGACGUGGUCCCAGCCGUUCGACCAGUCGGCGACCUUCACCGCGCCGUUCCACGUCCCAGACGGCACCAUCGUGCGCGUGCCGUUCAUGACGACGGGCCGGUUCCCGUUCGAGCAGCACGUCGCCGUCUACCCGGGCUUCAGGGCCCUCAAGCUGCCCUACAAGAACGACGGCGACCACGCGGGGCGGCGAGCCGAGGCUGCAUUGUACAUGCUUCUCCUCCUCCCGGACGGCGCCGCUCUCGGCCUCGCCGAUCUCUACGACAAGGCGGUCGCGACGCCGGGGUUCAUCAAGAGCCACACGCCGGGGGUCCAGGUCCCGGUCGGGCGGUUCAUGGUGCCGAAGUUCAAGUUCACGUUCGAGUUCGAGGCGUCGUCGGACAUGCGGAGGCUCGGGGUCACCAGGGCUUUCGAAGGCGGCGACUUCUGGGGCAUGGUGAGCGGCGGGGAUGGGCUCUUCAUCGCGGGCGUGUACCAUAAGGCCACCAUCGAGGUGGACGAGCUGGGCACCGUGGCCGCCGCAGCAACGGCCGUGGCGAUCCAGGACAGUGCAAGGGCGCCACGGCCUCCGGUGGAUUUCGUGGCGGACCGGCCCUUCUUAUUCGCCAUUGUCGAGGAGAAAACCAGCGCAGUACUGUUCCUUGGCCAUGUGAUCAAUCCUCUCGCUGAAUGA